rnacentral:rRNA from 1 species
UACAGAGGAUGCAAGCGUUAUCCGGAAUGAUUGGGCGUAAAGCGUCUGUAGGUGGCUUUUUAAGUCCGCCGUCAAAUCCCAGGGCUCAACUCUGGACAGGCGGUGGAAACUACCAAGCUGGAGUACGGUAGGGGCAGAGGGAAUUUCCGGUGGAGCGGUGAAAUGCGUAGAGAUCGGGAGGAACACCAGAGGCGAAGGCGGCGACCUGGACAGAUACUGACACUCAACUACGAAAGCGUGGGGAGCAAACAGG